rnacentral:tRNA from 1 species
UGGCCGGUGCCUGAAUAAAAGGGCUGCCUUGAUAGGGCAGAUAAUGCACCUGCCCGGCCAA